GUAAAAGAAAGGGGGAAAUAAAGAAACCACAGCCUUCAUCUGGCUUUUAGGGAACUUAGGACACAUGGAAGAAAGCGCUUGGACGGCUAUUGAAAUAUUUACAAAACAAAUCAUUUACGUUUAACUUUUGUAUAUGUAAAACCCGGAGAGCUGCCUACAAAGACAGAGGCAACUUUAGUUAUGAGAUAUUUUGGCAUCAAAAUGGUUAAUAGUAUUAUAGCUUCAAAAGAGCCUAUUGGCUCACCCUCAAGGAUGCCCUGCAGUUGUUGUUAAAGUCAUCACAUGAAGCUAGCCUGCUCAGCUAGCCUUUAGAUUUGUCUGCUAACAGUAAAAAUACUAUAAUAAAUCGGUAACAUAUGUUGCCAGGCAAGGAAAAGUGAUAUAAAUAAAGAGACUAGGAGACCCAAACCAAGUACAAUGUGAAAAGAAUUUAACUUUCAAUCUCUGCGUUGGUUAAUUACCAUUUGAAAAGUCAUUUGAAAGUGUUACUCUUAUUUGCUUAUAUUCUUCCUCAUUUUUUUUUUUUUUCUCUUCAGAUUGCAUUCUUACCCAAAUACUCUUCGUGAUGGCCUGCUUUGCGGCUUUGGGAUUCUUUAGGGAAUGGAGAUCAGUUUCAUGGAUGACAUCCCAGUUUUCUCAUCAUCAGAAAAGAAAAAAAUCCUCUGGCCAGUGGAAGAAACAGUCACCAAAACGUGAAACAGCCUGGUGAGACAGCAAUAUUCAACUACGAAAAGACCAACAGCAUUGGUCAUGCCAUAUUGUACCUGUCUUUCGGUGUUCCUGCUGCCCACAGGCCUGGAAGCUUCAGACGGACAGGAUCUUGCAUUUUGGCUACUCCUGCACAUGGCCCAGAGUCUGGUAACCAGAAUGAACUUGAGUUGCGGUUAAACAGACAUGCGAAUCCUGCACCCCCACUCCAAGCACUGAGUAUAUCUUCCAGAACCAUAGCCUCUGCCUGGGGGAGGACUGAGCCUGCCCAGCAAGCUCACCGCAAGCUGGGAGAAGCCCAGACUCUGCAGGCACGUGGUUCUGCAGAACGAGCCCUGGAUGGACUCAGGCAGGCACACCCAGUGAUCUCUCCUAGAUUCAACAAUCAGGCCAGCAGCUGGUGUGACACUAAAUCUUCCCAGAGAAACAUAAACCCAGGAAAUGACAGCCUUGUCCCUAGCAUUGGCCUCAAUGCUCAUUGACAUAUCGAAGAAACUAAAGGGUGAAAGGAGGUGAUGGUUAAUUUUAUGCAUCACCUUGGCUGGAUGAUGGUGUCCAGUUAUUUGGUCAAACACUAGUCUAGAUGUUGCUUGAAGGUAGUUUUUAAAGGUGGUUAAAAUUUAACUCAAAAUAUUCCGAGUAAAGCAAAUUGCCCCCCAUGGUAUGGGUGGGUCUUAUCCAAUCAGUUGAAGGCCUUAAGCACAAGGACUGAGGUUUCCUGAAGAAGAAAUUCUCCUCAAGACGGCAACAUCGACUCUUACCUGAUUUUCCAACCUGCCUUACAGACUGCAGCCUUGCCAGUCCCACAACUGCAUGAAUCACUUCCUUCUCUCAAUCUCUCUUUCUAUUGUGUGUCUGUGUGUGUAUUCGCCUUCUGGUUCUGUUUCUCUGGAGAACCCUGCCGAUACAACCGACUAUGUUGAAUCUGUAGCAGAAGAGGUAGGGUGAUGGCCAUGAAAGCCAUGUUCGAGUUUCUAAUGGGUUCUCUAGGAUGAGGUCUUGGGCUUAUUUAAUGUGUCACAUCACUCUGACUAUCUUGAGAUGCUUGAGUAUCUGAGAUGCUUUAGAUAGUGCCUGAUGGGUCUUAUCAGUGGUGCUACAGAAAAGACGCUCAUGUUACAAGAAAGCUGAAUCAGAUGGCUGCCUGCUAGGGGUACUUCAAACUGUUUUGAGGACACUGACAUUAUCUAAUGCUUCUGUUAAAUAAUUAUAAUGUGAUCCCCCCCC
rnacentral:lncRNA from 1 species